AGAAAAUAGAAAUAAAGAGGAAAGCAAAGGGCACGAUACGGGCCCUUGGCUAUCAGUUUUCGUGCGUAUGUGUUCGUGUGAUUUGAUGUGAUCGAUCCUGAGGUGAAUUUUCAACAAUUUGUAUCUAGAGCAAGGUUCGAGGUGAAGCUGCGCUUGCUCCGGGGUGACGAACCGACUAGCACCUCGGAGCGGGCAAUACAGUCGCCGGUGUAGCGACGAAGAGGGGCGGGCAAUACAGUCGUUGGUGUAGAGACGAGGAAGAGCAGGUUGUUUAGUCGUUGGGCAUGCAACGACGUGGAGGAUCGGGCGGUUGUCGUUCGGCGGAACGGCAACGAGAAGGCAGCGAGGGCGUUGUCGCAAGCGAGACGACAGGUGAUUGUUGUUUGGCGGAACGACCUGGAGGAGGGCGACAGGGCUAUUGUCGGCAAGGCGUUGGUGACCGUUGAUGGUUAUGGAGAUGCCGAAGUUGCGACACCGAGAAAAUCAUCGUUGGAGGGUGCAAGGUGGAGAUGGCGAAGUUGCGAGCUGUCAUCAAGGUGUACAGAUGAGUUCUUGUAAGGUGUGUCCAAGAGCUCAGGCGUGUGAAUCUUCUGCUGCAGAUGAGAUACGUCACUGGCAGAAGAGUUGAGAGUGAGAGCGGAUGGAAAAAGGAAAAUGUGCCUCGUGUUUCCGUUCGUUGUGCGGAGUUCCGGCGAGUUCAUAUACGGUGGAGAUGAGUUGCACGUAUAUGGCGAGUUGUGUUGCCGCUGGACAGGAGGUGUCGUUUGAUAAGAUGUGGCAUCGGCGACACUGAGAAGAUGUGAAGAUGUGACGGGUGAAGAGAUGUGUCUACCCGUAUGCAAGCAACCGACAAGAAGAUGAAGAUCAACGUGAAGAUGGACACGCACCAGUUAAGUUGAGUUCUUGCAUGAGGCUAUGCGUUCAGUCUGCAUGUAGCACGCUAAGAUGUGACAGCGUGGCUGGUAGUCCGGGUAAUCGUUGGUUAGUCUAUGAAUCGGUAUGCAAACGAAGUUGAGGUGACGAUCAAGUGGUGGCCAUCGUUGCAUGAAGAGAGAAGUUGUGAUCCGGUAAGUCUCGUUACCGGAGGCAACUCACGUGACAAGAUGAAUAGAGAAUCGUCUGCGUGUCCCGUUCAUGUAAAAGAGUCAGAUAGAGUAGAUGUUUGAAUUAGGGGGUGAAUGUUGGAAUAAUCCAAACAUGUUACUAAAAGAUUUAGCUAGGUAAGUCAAAUUACGUGGCGUUUGGCUUGCAUGCCAUCUUGCGGUACAUGCGUGUUGAGUCCGGUAAGGAUUAGUAGUGUGAUCAGUGUCGCCGGUAAUUAGAUUAAGAUUAGAAAAGAGUCCUUAUAUGUACGGCAAGAAAGAAGGUUGCCCGUACGAGCUUAGUUUGUGUUUGAGUCGGAUAAUUGAUGGUUAGCUGUUUAUGAAUAGGUCGAGUAGGUCGAGUCGGUUUGUCUAGGUCAGGUUGAUGCAUAUAUAUAUAUGCCUGUAUAUGCUAGUUUUGUAACAGUGAAAAGAGAAAACCAGAAAAUAGAAAUAAAGAAAAAAACAAAGGGCACGAUACGGGUCCUUGGCUAUCAGUUUUCGUGCGUGUGUGUCCAUGUAAUUUGAUGUGAUCGAUCCUGAGGUGAAUUUCCAACACAUGCUCCUGAUCUAGAAGAAUUGCGACGCGUCCAGGGUGGGACUGCUCUCCAAUACGGACUCCAGCUCAUUCUUGGACCGAAAGAAUUCCAGAUAGUGGCCCAUGAUGGAUGGAUGAUAUGAGGUGAUCUGGGUGCUGCAUUUGAUGGCCAUGAUCUGUUUGCUGCAGGCCAACUCCCUGCUUGUGGCCUCUGAAGGAGACAACUUCCAGUUCCAGUAGACCUAUCCGAUAGAAUUCUCGAAGCUAUUAGCCUGCAAGCUCUCAAUCAGGUAUUGUAUUCGCAACUUAGCGUAUUUUUUUACUGAAGUUUGGUGCCUAACUCCCAAACAUCUUUUGUCAAUGGUAAGAAUGUAGAUGUUGACAACUUGACAUAAAUUUUAUGCUUUCUGCAAGAAGAGUGGUAUCAAUAUUAAUAGAGAAGUAGACAUUGUUUGAAUUAUUCUUGAUUAUUUGUGUUAUGUUAAUAGCUGCCUGCUCUGUUCUUAACUGUGUAUCCUUGCUCCUUGGUCCCCUGUCAACUGUACAAAAGGUAAUUUAUCAGAAUCUUACAGCCUUUUAGCUGCACCUGAGCCUAUGAGGUUCCUUAGUUUCACCGCUGAAC